CCAAUAUGGGUAUUCCUAGGUAUUCCAUGGGCUCUGCCCAAGUGGCGUAGGGGAACAUAGGUCUCUGCCCUGUGAUGUACCGUCCCAUUUCUGCUGCAUUGGAAAUGAAGCUGGGCCUUGAGUCUGUGCCUGCAUAUUCCUACAGCUUCUCGAGUCCUAUGGAUGAUGACUGAGGAGACAAACCAUGAGGGAAACAGAU
rnacentral:snoRNA from 1 species